UAGUAGAGGUGUACCAGGAACUAACAUCACCACUCUGUUCAUCUGGGUAGAGGAAAGUAGACAGGAGGGUAGUCAGGAGACGCUGUAGAAACUCUGAUACUGAUAGGUGAUAAUAAGGUGAAACAUGGAGCACUUCAAGCCAGCAUUUAACUGUCUGACCAGUGUAUCAUCUACAUGUUGUUUCCAGCUCUGAUAUUGUUUUUCUUCAUUCUCUGGUUGGAAGGAGAGUUUCAACGAGUUUCUUGAGAAUUACACGCAUAUGCAGAUGUAAUUUGUGGAGAAGAUUCUUCUCAAUCCUCAUUAAGGCGACAGUGUUGCUGUGGGUUGUGUCUGUGUUUAUUGAUGGACACUGGUACGUGUGCCUUAAAAGAGUGAUGCUUCCCUGUAGGAACAACACCACACCAUUCCAAGAGGAACUAGAAAAGCAACUCGAAGCUCGUUUCAAAACGGAGUUCAUGGUUAUUGGAUUGGUUCUGGUUCUGGUUCUGCUUGUUGUGACUUAUAUUCUGACUGCAAUACAUUGGAGGGAUAUCUGUUCUGUUAUACGCAGAAAAUGUACAAGGUGCCAGAACAUUAACGAUUGCAAUACAUUCAAAAUGUAUCACAUGAUGGUUUAUGAGGAGAGUAUUUUGGAAGACAUAGACAUUGUUUUUGAAAAAGAGUUAAAGAGAACAGCUAAAGAGCAUGUAGUUCUUAAAAUCGGAAAAGUACUACCGCCCUCUUCGACUGCAGCCCCUCCAACCCCCGCCACACAGGGAGGAGACGGGCCAACCUCGACAACCCCCGCCACACAGGGAGGAGACGGGCCAACCUCGACAACCCCCGCCACAUAGGGAGGAGACGGGCCAACCUCGAAAACCCCCGCCACACAGGGAGGAGACGGGCCAACCACUACAACCCCCACCACACAGGGAGAAGACAGGGGCAAGCAGCACCACCCGUCCUGAGAUGGAAGAUAGUAGGAGCAGCACCAGUCCUGAGGUGGAAGAUAGUAGCAGCAGCACCAGUCCUGAGGUGGAAGAUAGUAGCAGCAGCACCAGUCCUGAGGUGGAAGAUAGUAGGAGCAGCACCAGUCCUGAGGUGGAAGAUAGUAGGAGCAGCACCAGUCCUGAGGUGGAAGAUAGUAGGAACAGCACCCAUCCUGAGGUGGAAGAUAGUAGCAGCAGCACCAGUCCUGAGGUGGAAGAUAGUAGGAGCAGCACCAGUCCUGAGGUGGAAGAUAGUAGGAGCAGCACCAGUCCUGAGGUGGAAGAUAGUAGCAGCAGCACCAGUCCUGAGGUGGAAGAUAGUAGGAGCAGCACCAGUCCUGAGGUGGAAGAUAGUAGGAGCAGCACCAGUCCUGAGGUGGAAGAUAGUAGCAGCAGCACCAGUCCUGAGGUGGAAGAUAGUAGGAGCAGCACCAGUCCUGAGGUGGAAGAUAGUAGCAGCAGCACCAGUCCUGAGGUGGAAGAUAGUAGGAGCAGCACCAGUCCUGAGGUGGAAGAUAGUAGGAAUAGCACCCAUCCUGAGGUGGAAGAUAGAGUGAUCACCCUUGACAACCUUGAUUUUGACAAGAUAUCUACUCUACAUUCUCAAAUAAUCUGCUCGAUGUUCCCAGAACAAACACAUUCAAGGAACGAAAGCUGAAGAAGUGGCCAGAUGCCACUACUUGAGGAAGGCUCUCAACCCUAACUUUGGUAUAAUAUAUUUAGCAUCAGAUAUGUAAAUUUAUAUGUACAUUAAUAGUAUGAUACACUGUAUGUGAACCGUUUGUGAAAACUGUGGCUUUCAAGUGAAAUACUCAAAUCAGUCACACAAAAAUUAACUGUAGUGAGCAGCGACCAUGUGUUUAUAAGGCUACAUCUGUCUCACAAUAAACUGUGUUUCUGGUUAAGGUGGCAGCAGUAGUUUGGUACAAUACAACCAGCAUGGGUUAUAUGAUGGGGAGUGAGCAACUGUGGGUGAUAAACCUUAACAACUACACUGUAUAAGUCUGUAUAAUGUCACAGGGUGGUAAUGUGAGCCGGGUAGCAAACAUGAGCCUGUUAGAACACAGUGAUGGUUGACAGAGCUGUUCUAAAUCAUCUUUAUUUCUAGACUAUAAACAAUGUAACCUUCAUUAAUGAAUAUGUGUUAAUAUAACCAGUGAAAUAUUGUUUUUGUCUUUUUGUUCAUAUGUUGUUACUGUUGAUUAUAUUCUGCCUUUAUGUCUACCUUUAACAAAAAUAUAUAUUUAUAUAUAAUAUUACUAACAAUCUGUAUUUCCUGUCUUCAAUGUACCACAUUU